UACAGAGGUCCCAAGCGUUGUUCGGAUUCAUUGGGCGUAAAGGGUGCGUAGGCGGCGCGGUAAGUCGGGUGUGAAAUCUCGGGGCUUAACUCCGAAACUGCAUUCGAUACUGCCGUGCUUGAGGACUGGAGAGGAGACUGGAAUUUACGGUGUAGCGGUGAAAUGCGUAGAUAUCGUAAGGAACACCUGUGGCGAAAGCGGCUCACUGGACCAUAACUGACGCUGAGGCACGAAAGCUAGGGGAGCAAACAGG
rnacentral:rRNA from 1 species